rnacentral:rRNA from 1 species
GCCGGAAUUGCUAGUAAUGGCAGGUCAGCAUACUGCCGUGAAUACGUUCCCGGGCCCUUGUACACACCGCCCGUCACACCAUGAGAGUUGGAGAUACCCGAAGCCUGUGAGCUAACAAACGAGGCAGCAGUCGAAGGUAGAAUCAAUGAUUGGGGUGAAGUCGUAACAAGGUAGC